AUUGAACGCUGGCGGCAUGCUUUACACAUGCAAGUCGAACGGCAGCGCGGGCUUCGGCCUGGCGGCGAGUGGCGAACGGGUGGGUAAUGCAUCGGAACGUGCCCAGUAGUGGGGGAUAGCCCGGCGAAAGCCGGAUUAAUACCGCAUACGACCUGAGGGUGAAAGCGGGGGACCGAAAGGCCUCGCGCUAUUGGAGCGGCCGAUGUCGGAUUAGCUAGUUGGUGGGGUAAAGGCUUACCAAGGCGACGAUCCGUAGCUGGUCUGAGAGGACGACCAGCCACACUGGGACUGAGACACGGCCCAGACUCCUACGGGAGGCAGCAGUGGGGAAUUUUGGACAAUGGGGGCAACCCUGAUCCAGCCAUGCCGCGUGCGGGAAGAAGGCCUUCGGGUUGUAAAGCGCUUUUGUUCGGGAAGAAAUCCUCUGGGCUAAUACCCCGGGGGGAUGACGGUACCGGAAGAAUAAGCACCGGCUAACUACGUG
rnacentral:rRNA from 1 species